AAAUGGGAGUUCUGCCAUAGAUUUUAAUGGGGCCAGGAUUUCACUCACAGCUUCUGGAGACUGAAGGAAAGGGUGUUUUUCAAGGGGCAAAUCUCUAACAGAUGGGUUGAACUUUUUGCUUCAAAGCAUCUUAUAAAAGCAGCAUGAAGGAACAGGGCAGAGGGAAGACGGAAUAUGCAGAAUAAAGGCUCUAAUAAAUGUAUUGGAAGACUUUCCUGACAGCCUGUUGAAAACACAAAA